GCGGGUAUAGUUCAGUGGUAGAACACCUCCUUGCCAAGGAGGUUGUCGCGCGUUCGAAUAGCGUUACCCGCU
rnacentral:tRNA from 1 species